GUAGGGUGCGAGCGUUAUUCGGAAUUAUUGGGCGUAAAGAGGUCGUCGGCGGUUUGUCGCGUUUGUAGUGAAAGUCCGUGGCUUAACCCCGGAUAUGCGGUGGGUACGGGCAGAAUAGAGUGCAGUAGGGGAGCAUGGAAUUCCUGGUGUAGCGGUGGAAUGCGCAGAUAUCAGGAGGAACCCCCAUGGGGAAGGCAGGUCUUUGGGUUGUAAAUGACGGUGAGGAGUGAAAGCCUGGGGAGCGAACCGGAUUAGAUUCCCUGGUAGUUCAUUCCGUAAACGUAGGGCAGUAGGUGUGGGGAGCAUUUCACGGUUUCCGCGCCGCAGCUAACGCAUUAAGCGCUCCGCCUGGGGAGUACGGCCGCAAGGCUA
rnacentral:rRNA from 1 species